UAAUCUGCCCACUGAUUUAGAAUUAAAGGGCUGCAGUAUAUUGACUGUACAAAGGUAGCAUAAUCAUUAGUCAUUUAAUUGAUGACUUGCAUGAAAGAUUGGAUGAAAUAUAAGCUGUCUUUUAUUUAUUUAUAAAAUUUAAUUUUUUUAUAAAAAAGUUUAAAUAAUUUAAAAAGACGAGAAGACCCUAUAGAGUUUUAUAAACAAUUAGGUUAAGAUUAUAUUGAAAAUUAAAUUUAAAAUUUAAUUAUUUAUUUUAUUGGGGUGAUGAAAAAAUAUAAAAAACUUUUUUUUUUAAUUAAAACAUUUAUAAGUGAUUAAAUGAUCCAUUAUUAUUGAUUACAAGAAAAAAUUACCUUAGGGAUAACAGCGUAAUUUUUUUUUUUAGUUCAAAUAAGAAAAAGAGUUUGCGACCUCGAUGUUGGAUUAAGAUAAAUUUUAAAUGUAGAAG
rnacentral:rRNA from 1 species